AGUACGGCUGAGUAUCCCGUGAGAACCUACUUUCUGGAUGGGGAUAGCAGUGGGAAUCGAUUGCUAACACCCAACAUUCCAAGAGGUGAAAAAUAUAUUUCCACAAGAUAUGCUCGCGUCUGAUAAUAUAGAUGGGGGGGUAAAAGCCUCCCACGACGAGGAUCUGUAUAUGGUGUGAGAGGAUGAGCUCCCCCACUGGGGGUGAGACACGCGCCCGAGUCUUAUGGGAGGCACCACUGGGGAAUUUUUUACACUGGGGGAAAGCCCGUGGUAUCAACACCGCGUGUGGGAGGAAGGUCCUUGGAUUUUAAACAUCUUUUUCGAGAGGAAGAAGUUCUGACGGUACUUCCGGAAUAAGCAUCGGCUAACUCCGUGCCAGCAGCCGCGGUAAUACGGAGGUUUCAAGCGUUAUUCGGAUUCAUUGGGCGUAAAGCGUCCGUAGGUGGUGAUACAAGUCGAUUGUCAAAUCAGGUGGCUUAACGUCAUAAAGGCGGUCGAAACUGUCUUACUAGAGUUCGGUAGGGGUAACGGGAAUUCCCAGUGUAGCGGUGAAAUGCGUAGAUAUUGGGAAGAACAUCGGUGGCGAAAGCGCCUUUCUGGGCAGUUCCUGACGCUGAGGCACGAAAGCCAGGGGAGCGAAAGGGAUUAGAUACCCCUGUAGUC
rnacentral:rRNA from 1 species